rnacentral:rRNA from 1 species
UACGGAGGGUGCGAGCGUUAAUCGGAAUUACUGGGCGUAAAGCGCACGUAGGCGGCCUAUUAAGCUGGAUGUGAAAGCCCCGGGCUCAACCUGGGAAUGGCACCCAGAACUGGUAGGCUAGAGUACAGUAGAGGUGAGUGGAAUUUCCUGUGUAGCGGUGAAAUGCGUAGAUAUAGGAAGGAACAUCAGUGGCGAAGGCGACUCACUGGACUGAUACUGACGCUGAGGAGCGAAAGCGUGGGGAGCAAACAGG